rnacentral:tRNA from 1 species
ACCUGGGUGGUGCAAAGGGUUAAUGCACUUAGCUGCUAACUGAAAGGUUGGAGGUUCGAGUCCACCCAGAGGUG